rnacentral:rRNA from 1 species
GAUAAACGCUGGCGGCGUGCCUAACACAUGCAAGUCGAACGCCCUUUUGCGCAAGUGAGAGGGAGUGGCGGACGGGUGAGUAACACGUGGGUACCUACCUUGAGGUGAGGAAUACCACCGAGAAAUCGGUGACAAGACCGCAUACGCUUGGCAACAAGCAAAGUCUCGCAAGAGACGCCACAAGAUGGGCCUGCGCCUGAUUAGCUAGUUGGUGAGGUAACAGCNCACCAAGGCGACGAUCAGUAGCUGGUCUGAGAGGAUGAUCAGCCACACUGGGAUUGAGAACGGCCCAGACUCCGU